rnacentral:rRNA from 1 species
GAUGAACGCUAGCUACAGGCUUAACACAUGCAAGUCGAGGGGAAACGAUAUUGGAAGCUUGCUUCCGAUAGGCGUCGACCGGCGCACGGGUGAGUAACGCGUAUCCAACCUGCCCAUCACUUGGGGAUAACCUUGCGAAAGUAAGACUAAUACCCAAUGACGUCUCUAGAAGACAUCUGAAGGAGAUUAAAGAUUUAUCGGUAAACGAUGGGGAUGCGUUCCAUUAGGUAGUAGGCGGGGUAACGGCCCACCUAGCCAACGAUGGAUAGGGGUUCUGAGAGGAAGGUCCCCCACAUUGGAACUGAGACACGGUCCAAACUCCUACGGGAGGCAGCAGUGAGGAAUAUUGGUCAAUGGGCGAGAGCCUGAACCAGCCAAGUAGCGUGAAGGAUGAAGGUCCUACGGAUUGUAAACUUCUUUUAUACGGGAAUAAAGUAUCCUACGUGUAGGAUUUUGUAUGUACCGUAUGAAUAAGCAUCGGCUAACUCCGUG